GGGCCAGUGGCGGAAUUGGUAUACGCGCACGACUUAAAAUCGUGUCCUUCACAGGAUGAGGGUUCGAUUCCCUCCUGGCCCA
rnacentral:tRNA from 1 species